rnacentral:rRNA from 1 species
UGGGGGAUAUUGCACAAUGGGCGAAAGCCUGAUGCAGCGACGCCGCGUGGGGGAUGAAGGCUUUCGGGUUGUAAACCUCUUUCGCUAUCGAACAAGGCCCGCUUAGGGUGGGUUGAGGGUAGGUGGAGAAGAAGCGCCGGCUAACUACGUGCCAGCAGCCGCGGUAAUACGUAGGGCGCGAGCGUUGUCCGGAAUUAUUGGGCGUAAAGGGCUUGUAGGCGGCUUGUUGCGCCUGCUGUGAAAACGCGGGGCUUAACUUCGCGCGUGCAGUGGGUACGGGCAGGCGUGAGUGUGGUAGGGGUGACUGGAAUUCCAGGUGUAGCGGUGGGAUGCGCAGAUAUCUGGAGGGACACCGAUGGCGAAGGCAGGUCACUGGGCCAUUACUGACGCUGAGGAGCGAAAGCAUGGGUAGCGAACAGG